rnacentral:tRNA from 1 species
AAGCUUAGGAUAAACAAACCAAGGGCCUUCAAAGCCCUAAACAAGAGACAACCUCUUAGCCUCUGCUU